GCAACUGUUCUGCUCGGGUUCGAUUCGCUUCUUCCAGUUCGACGCUCUGAAACUUCUUUGUGAUGUUGCUCCUCUCUCUAUCGGUGCGGUUUUACGAAGCAUCUAAGCACAGUUCACUCGCGUUGAUCGAUCAAGAGCUUUGCCGCCACUCCUUAUCCUCAAGGUUACCUCUUUUCUUCUUUAUUUUGGUUCAACACUUCUGCUUCAUUUUCCUGGAUUUUUCCUAUGUACAGCGACAAACAGGUUAGAACUUUCUCAGAGACUGGAAUUACUGUUGUGAUAUCCAAAACCAUGCAAGAGUUAUGUUUAGGAGUUCUUGGAAAUGGUUCGUGGGAUAUCAGUAAUGUUAGCAUCUGAGUCCGCUUUGCAAUGUACAUGCGAUCUCAAUCAAUAAGAUAUGCCUCAGGACAAGCUAAGAUCAAGAAUUUACAACUCGUUUCUAACAUGUAAUGAUCCAAAAGGCAUAGUUGAUAAGAACACUGUCAGGAGAAGGAAAGUAGUUGCUUCAUCAAAAAUGGAGAAGCCGAUCAAAAGUCGGACAGCUAGGAAGAACUUUUACGAAUUUUCAGACUGUAAGUUACGAAGACAGCAAACAACCA